rnacentral:misc_RNA from 1 species
GUUCGCAUUGCUUUCAAGUCUCUGCAGGAUACAGCAUUAAUAUGAAAAAAAUGAGUCAACAUAUGAACCAGUUUGAUGUAGUUCAUGAGAAAAUAAACUAUAUCAACAGAUAAAUGGAGAAGAAUUGGCAUGAGUGUGAUAUUCAAAUUUAUAACUGAUAAAAGAACUCUCAUUUAAUCAUUUGUAUCUUUCGCUAUGAAAUAUAAGACAGAGCUUGAUGAACUAUAUAUAUGGCUCAACUGAAUAGCAAUUUUCAGUGUUAAAAAACAGAAAUCAACAGAAGGAAACCUAAACUUGUUCAUUGUUCCUUUAACAUCUCAGAAAUCAAAUGCUUAAUCGAAAAGGAUGAAAAGUAACUG